UAAAAGGCGUAUGUAUGCCAAUUUGUGUUAUCAAGACUCAUACUCGCUUUUUAGCGUGUUGAUCAACACCGUUCGGCCUCCAUUGACUUACUUACUUUGAGAUGGCGUGUUAAUUUUCGCCAUAGCGAGAAGUUUGUAAGGGCAAAAAUCUUCAUGAGAAGGUUGGUUGGGGUGGUGGACGGGUAAAACACAGGACUUCACCCAGGAGACCGGGGAUCGGGUCCCGUGUAUCACGUUUCUAAAGGCAACCGUUGGUUUCCUUUACAAAGCCAACCCCGUGUCACGUUUCCUAAACUCAACUGUUGUUUUCUUCUUGCGAUAACCCGCCAAGUGACGUGUACAUCAGCUGUGUACAUACACGCAGAUAGCUCAAAAUGCAUAACGCGCCACUUGGCUUUAGAAAGUCUGUUUGUUUGUUUACGCAAAGUCAUGUCCUGUUGCUUUUAUGACUGUUUGGUAAAUAUGAAUCUACAGCUCACAAACACUUAGCUUAUCCCAGCCCAAAGGAAAACAGUUCCAGCCCAUAACUUUCUUUAAAACCAAAAAUUGUCAUUUUUUCAAUUUUUUUAAGCAAAGUCCUUCCCCUGUUUUCAGUGGGUUUUUUUUAUCCUAAGCUUAGUUAAUUAACUGACAACUCUGACUUCAUAUCUAUCAUACAGACACAAGUGUUAUUGAUCCCCUGAUCUAAAUUUAAAAGUAUAUUUCCAAAAUACUUUCUUUAAAUUCAGGUCAGUGCGGUGCCAGUGUAGGUCAGGUUAAAGGUCUAAUGCUUGCUACAGUAAACUAAUCUACUAUGCCUAAUUAGCAUUUUUACAAUUCAUGAAAAACUUGUGAAAACAAGGUCAUGAACUACAUCUUGACAAUUUAGUUUGCCUCAACUAACUCCAGCUCUGGAUCAGUACAACUGUGCCAAAAUGGAAAUGGUUUAAAAGUACUAGUGAGCAUGUCAUCAGCCAGGUUAUCGUAGUGAAAUAGAGUAAAUUGCCCACACACAGAGGAAAACAAACAUAUUCUUUAUAGCCCCAUCAGACUGAUGUCAUCUUAAAUGGACUGUACACGUUGCAUUAGCAAAAUCCAUUAAAGUCAGCAAGCACAUCUGCAUCCAUUCCAAAUGCAGGAUGGUUUGUAGUGCAACACUCACAAGUGAACUGCUAUUUAGUCAGUUAGUCAUUAGUCUGCCAAACAUUUUAUUACAUCUUUUGUUCAGUAAAUGAAUUAUCAAUUGCAUAAUUUGAUUGCAUCUCCAUUGACUUUUCAACAAAUUAUAUUAUUUAUAGCUUAAAUAAAAAAGGCACUACACCAAACACAUGGGAUAUCAUUUUAAAAAGUACUAAAAUCCCUUAAAAGGAUACAAUAGUGUAUCAAUCGCACGUCAGUGGUUAAACAAAAAAAGUCUUUUACUCACCAAUAAAACUACCAGUUUUCAGAUACAGUGUGAUAACUUUAAGCUUUAGUGCGUAACUUUUUGAUAUUAAUGAACGUAUGUUCCAUUCAAGCCAUUGCCAGAAGAGUUGCUACAAAGCUAAUUAAGGCUCUACACAACUCUCUCUGUAACUCUCAGUAUAGCUAUGUUUAGAAGAUUGUGGCGUCCGCUGACUUCCGCGCAGAAGCUUGAGUGAAGAUAAUUACCUCUUCUGAAGAGUCCAUGCUUUUUAAAUCCUUUGUGUCCUACUUGAACUACUAUCAACUGCAUUAGGGAGGGUGGGGUACGGGAUGGGGCACAGUCACAGAAGGCUUGUAUCAUGUGGACACGCCUGUCACAGAAGGCUUGUAUCAUGUGAACGCGCAGACAGUGUUGUUGUUAUUACCUAGAAUUCCUCAUGGGGGCGACAGAAACUACGCACUAUAGCUUUAAGGAAGCAACACUGUAAUUGAGUCAAAAAGUAAAUCACAGCUACAGAAAACAAAAUGUCUUUUGAAACUGGAAUGGGGAAUUUUAAAUCUUUGUCUAUUACACAUGGAUUUUGCCGGCUGCUCGUUCACACAACUACGACACAAUGUCACCACCACUGGCAUCCUUCAGUGUUAUUUUAUGUUUGUUUUUUUUUGUUUUUACUUGACCAACGUGUGUAUUUGUACAGUUUAAUGUAUUACAUAUGAUCUCAAUAAUCAAGUUUAAUAUGACCCAUAAACUUGUGUCAGUCACAAUAAACUUGUGACUGUCAAAUAGUUUACUUAUUUUUAUUCAAAGGCCAAUAUCUGCCAAAUAUACUAUAUUGUUUAUAUUUAGAUACUUAUAUCUCCAGGCAAGACAGGAAAACAUCUAAACUGUUAAGUCUAGUCUGGAUGUUAUUGACCGCUGGUUGUAAUAUCCUUCAUUUCAACCCUAUCUCUUGGGUGUUUAUUGGUAAUAAUCGCUCUAUGUUGUUUUAAUGCCUUGUGAAACAAAGUGUUAUCUUUGUGCUGUGACUUAGGGGGCUUUUACACCUACCUCGUUUGGUCCGGACCUUCGGACUUUUCAGUUUGAUCCAAAUCAAAUCUUCAGGUGUGAAACCUUACACGGACCACAGUCCGGACCAAAUGGCCAGAAUUUGGUCCGCCCAAUAGAGGUAGUCUUGGUCCGGGUCAAACUGAACCACGAUCCGGUUAGUUUCGGACCAAAUACAGGAAAUUCUGACAGGCUAUCAUCGUGUUAUAAGAACAGGGAAGACCCUUUUUUUAAGGAAUAGCAUACAGCUGUCUGAUAUCACAGCUGAGAAUACAUCAGCAGUUUACUUGUUAAGUGGUAGUAAAUGUCUGAAUAAAUGCCGCAGAAA